AACGAACGCUGGCGGCAUGCCUAACACAUGCAAGUCGAACGAGACAUUCGGGUCCAGUGGCGCACGGGUGCGUAACGCAUGGGAACCUGAACAUAGGAUCGGACUAACUCCCCGACAGGGGUGCUAAUACCGGAUAAUGUCUUAGGCCCAAAGCGUUAUCGCCUUUGGAUGGGCCCGCGUUGGAUUAGCUAGUUGGUAGGGUAAAAGCCUGCCAAGGCGACGUUCCAUAGCUGGUCUGAUAGGAUGAUCAGCCGGACUGGGACCGCGACACGGCCCAGACCGCUACGGAGGACAGCAGUGUAUAAUACUGUGCGAUGGACGAAAGCGUAGUCCAGCAGUGCCGGGUAAGUGAGCAAGGGCUUUGUAUUGCAAUUUUCUCUUGCCCGAGAUGAUAAUGACAGUACCGGGAGAAUAAGCUCCGGCUAACUCCGUG
rnacentral:rRNA from 1 species